rnacentral:tRNA from 1 species
GCGGGCGUGAUGUAAUGGUAGCCUGUCAGCCUUCCAAGCUGAACGCGCGGGUUCGAUUCCCGCCGCCCGCUCCA